AAGAAAGGAAGGAGACAGCCACGACCUUGGAGGCUUCAAUUGUUCAUAGUUCAAUUGGUUAUGUACUUAACUUUUGAUCGCCGAUUCAGCAUCGAACAACGAUCCCGAACUCAAAUGUGGUGACGUUUAUCCUUUGUGUCAGCAUGUACCUAAGGUGUCUAUAUAAUAGUUAUUUUAUGGUUUGAUUGUAAAUGAGGUUAUAACUUUAAUUUUUGUUGGUUUUAUACAUAUAAAUAUGUGUUUGUUUUUUAAGCCAUAUUAUGGCAUGAUAAAUUGAACUAAAUCUAGAUAGGUGCAUGUGAAUUUAAUUCUAUGUUUAAGUGCUCAUGAAUUAGGCAAAUUGACUUGGAUUUGGUAUGUUUAUAAA